AUUGAACGCUGGCGGCAGGCCUAACACAUGCAAGUCGAGCGGAGCGGCGGACGGGGGAGUGAUGCCUAGGUAUCUGCCUGGUCGUGGGGGAUAGCGUCAGGAAACGGGCGCUAAUACCGCAUACUAUCAGAUGAGGCUAGGUCGGAUUAGCUAGUUGGUGGGGUAGAGGCAUACCAAGGCGAAGAUCCGUAACUGGUCUGAGAGGAUGAUCAGUCACACUGGAACUGAGACACGGUCCAGACUCCUACGGGAGGCAGCAGUGGGGAAUAUUGGACAAUGGGCGAAAGCCUGAUACAGCCAUGCCGCGUGUGUGAAGAAGGCCUUCGGAUUGUAAAGUACUUUAAGCGGGGAGGCGUUACCAACAGAAUAAGCACCGGCUAACUCCGUGCCAGCAGCCGCGGUAAUUC
rnacentral:rRNA from 1 species